AACUAGCCUUAGCGAGGCCAUGGGGGAAAAAGUCUAACUGGCGGAACUCCUGGGAACUGGGGCGAUGGGCUCUUAGUAUCGGAGGAUUGGAACCAUCUGAUUUUUACCUGAAAUUCCUUAGUCUCUCCUGUGUUGGGGAAAUGAGACCGGGACUUGCUGUGGUGCCCAGGCUGGUCUUGAACUCCUGGUCUUAAGCAAUCAUACUGCUUUGGCCACCCAAAGCACUGGGAUUACAGGCGUGAACCACCACACCCAGCUCUUAAAACCACAGUAUUUCUAGGACUGCACCAAGGGGCAACGCAGUACUGCAGCCUUCCUCUGACUCAGUUUGGAUUCUCUCUGUCCGUUCUCACCACACUACUAAGGAGAGAACAGUGCCAGGCAGGGGAAGGAGAGGUACCUGAAGUUCUUUCUCCAGUUGAGCACGAAGCUCUUCCAUCCCCGAGGGCAGCACUAGCCUGGAGGGCAGAGAGGUCGAGCGUCUCAACAGCAUGGGGUUGGCACCAUUGAGGAACUGGUAGCCGAACAACUCAUCAUCCUGCCAGCACUGGCGAACC
rnacentral:antisense_RNA from 1 species